UCCAAUGACCUCAUCGGGACUUGAACCCGCGACCUUCCGGCUUGUAGCAUAGUGCCUCAACCACUAAGCUACCGCAUACCCCAUUACUUUCAUAUAUCAACUUCAAUUUAAAAGUUGUCAGAACCCACUGGUACAUCAGCUGGUUUGUUUACUCAAAACACCUGUAUCAAAUGAAUGUGCAGGUUUCAAAGCGAUCACAGAACUUCAAUUUAUAUGUACUACACUAGCUGUCUAGUAAGCAAGCCACUUUAACGUUCAUCCAGCAACAUUUCACGCCCAUCAUUGUAGCUAAUGUCAUCCAAACAGGAGGGCAUCCUAUUAUUGUCAAAGUAUUGCAGUGGGUUAACAUGAAGUAAUCCAAGUAACUAUUAUUUUGUGAAAUAUCAAUUUAUUCUUAUUUAUUAGCCUAAUUUCCCUGUUUUGAAAAAAUGAAACUAGGCUUGCAUUUGUAGAUAAAGGAAAUGAAGCAUUUGGUAAAAUCUGCAGGAGAAACAACAGUAUUUGAAGGAAAUCUGCCCAGUGUUGCUGUGUAAAAUACUAAGGUAAAAUCUAGGGCUAGUGUCUGAGUACGACCAGAAUAUAGUUUAGGUACUGUGGGAACUGCCCACAUUCAAGCAAGUGUGACAACGCGAGCUUCACUGCUUAGCAACGACGAGUAAACAGCGGUUGCUAGGCAAAGCCUACAACAAUACGGGCAGUGACAUUUCAGACGGCGAGUGCAGAGCAGGUGUCUUGCGGCGGGAUCACGAGAAGGCAUUGGCAUAGAUGUGACAGUGAGUGACUGCCCAAUAGGUGACAUUGCAGACAGCGAGUGCAGAGCAGGUGUCUUGUGGUAGGAUCAUGAGAAGGCAUUGGCAUAGAUGUGACAGUGAGUGACUGCUCAACAGGUGUGACAUUGCAGACGGCGAGUGCAGAGCAGGUGUCUUGCGGCGGAAUCAUGAGAAGGCAUUGGCAUAGAUGUGACAGUGAGUGACUGCCCAAUAGGUGUGACAUUGCAGACAGCGAGUGCAGAGCAGGUGUCUUGCGGCGGAAUCACGAGAAGGCAUUGGCAUAGAUGUAACAGUGAGUGACUGCCCAAUAGGUGUGACAUUGAAGACAGCGAGUGCAGAACAGGUGUCUAGUGGCAGAAUCAUGAGAAGGCAUUGGCAUAAAUGUGACAGUGAGUGACUGCCCAAUAGGUGUGACAUUGCAGACAGCGAGUGCAGAGCAGGUGUCUUGCGGCGGGAUCACGAGAAGGCAUUGGCAUAAAUGUGACAGUGAGUGACUGCCCAAUAGGUGUGACAUUGCAGACGGUGAGUGCAGAACAGGUGUCUAGUGGCAGAAUCACGAGAAGGCAUUGAAAUAGAAGAAACAUUGGCAGGAUUACAGAAAAAUACAGGUACUGCAAAAUGUUAAAAAGGAAAUAUACCACAAAGGACCUGCCUGAAACACAGUGCAAUUCCUUGACAUAACAAGGGAUGUGGAAUUUCCCGUCAAAGAAACGUGUUCCUGCAAUUAUA